rnacentral:rRNA from 1 species
ACGUAGGGGGCUAGCGUUAUCCGGAUUUACUGGGCGUAAAGGGUGCGUAGGCGGUCUUUCAAGUCAGGAGUGAAAGGCUACGGCUCAACCGUAGUAAGCUCUUGAAACUGGGAGACUUGAGUGCAGGAGAGGAGAGUGGAAUUCCUAGUGUAGCGGUGAAAUGCGUAGAUAUUAGGGGGAACACCAGUUGCGAAGGCGGCUCUCUGGACUGUAACUGACGCUGAGGCACGAAAGCGUGGGGAGCAAACAGGAUUAGAUACCCUGGUAGUCCACGCUGUAAACGAUGAGUACUAGGUGUCGGGGGUUACCCCCCUCGGUGCCGCAGCUAACGCAUUAAGUACUCCGCCUGGGAAGUACGCUCGCAAGAGUGAAACUCAAA